GACGAACGCUGGCGGCGUGCUUAACACAUGCAAGUCGAACGGAAAGGCCCUGCUUUUGUGGGGUGCUCGAGUGGCGAACGGGUGAGUAACACGUGAGUAACCUGCCCUUGACUUUGGGAUAACUUCAGGAAACUGGGGCUAAUACCGGAUAGGAGCUCCUGCUGCAUGGUGGGGGUUGGAAAGUUUCGGCGGUUGGGGAUGGACUCGCGGCUUAUCAGCUUGUUGGUGGGGUAGUGGCUUACCAAGGCUUUGACGGGUAGCCGGCCUGAGAGGGUGACCGGCCACAUUGGGAUUGAGAUACGGCCCAGACUCCUACGGGAGGCAGCAGUGGGGAAUAUUGCGCAAUGGGCGGAAGCCUGAUGCAGCAACGCCGCGUGCGGGAUGACGGCCUUCGGGUUGCAAACCGCUUUCGCCUGUGACGAAGCGUGAGUGACGGUAAUGGGUAAAGAAGCACCGGCUAACUACGUG
rnacentral:rRNA from 1 species